UGACAGAAAAGCUGAGAGCAGAGAACUGUGAACAGUCUCGUUAGCAUGGCAUCCAUUGCAAACUUCAUAAUACUUGGGAAUAGAAAAAUCUGGAGAUUUGAAAGAUCAGGAUCAGUUUCCAAGUUUUGGAAUUGUAUUUAUUGUCAUAGACACAAGUACACAGGUAUAGUUUUUGCCAGGAUACAGACUCACCAGCAGUUGGACCUUCUAGAAACAGGUGUAUUUUUACUACAAUCAAUUGAAACACCAUGACUGCACACAGGUUUAUAUAUAGCUAGGGCACCUUAACUAAUUACGUGACUUCUAAAACCAAUUGGCUGCACCAGUGAUGAUUUGGUGUGCCAUAUUAAAGGCGAUGAAUACUCAUGCAAUCAAUUAUUUUGUGUUUCAUAUUUGUAAUUAAUUAGAUCAUUUUGUAGAGAUCUGAUUUCACUUUGACACUGAAGUUUUUUUUCUGUUGAUCCAUGUCAAAAAAAACCCAAAUUAAAUUCACUGUGAUUCAAAGUUGUAAAACAAUAAAACAUGAAAAC